rnacentral:rRNA from 1 species
GACGAACGCUGGCGGCGUGCUUAACACAUGCAAGUCGAACGGAAAGGCCCUGCUUUUGUUGGGUGCUCGAGUGGCGAACGGGUGAGUAACACGUGAGUAACCUGCCCUUGACUUUGGGAUAACUUCAGGAAACUGGGGCUAAUACCGGAUAGGAGCUCCUGCUGCAUGGUGGGGGUUGGAAAGUUUCGGCGGUUGGGUAUGGACUCGCGGCUUAUCAGCUUGUUGGUGGGGUAGUGGCUUACCAAGGCUUUGACGGGUAGCCGGCCUUAGAGGGUGACCGGCGAAAUGGGGACUGAGAGAGGGCCCAGACUCCUACGGGAGGAAGAAGGGGGGAAAAUGGAAUAAUGGGCGGAAGCCUGAGGCAGCAACGCCGCGUGCGGGAUGACGGCUUUCGGGUUGAAAACCGCUUUCGCCUGUGACGAAGCGGAAGUGACGGUAAGGGGUAAAGAAGCACCGGCUAACUACGUG